CCAGAGACCGAUAGCGCACAAGUAGAGUGAUCGAAAGAUGAAAAGCACUUUGGAAAGAGAGUUAAACAGUACGUGAAAUUGUUGAAAGGGAAGCGCUUGCACCCAGACUUGGGCGCUGCUGAUCACCUUGAGGUCUCCUCGAGUGCACUCGACAGCGCACAGGCCAGCAUCGGUUCGGGUGGCUGGAUAAAGGCCGUAGGAACGUAGCUCCUUUCGGGGAGUGUUAUAGCCUACGGUGCCAUGCAGCCCAGCCGGACCGAGGACCGCGCCUUCGGGCUAGGAUGCUGGCGUAAUGGGUGUAAGCGACCCGUCUUGAAA
rnacentral:rRNA from 1 species